rnacentral:rRNA from 1 species
GACGAACCGUGCGAACGUUGUUCGGAAUCACUGGGCUUAAAGGGCGCGUAGGCGGCCCGCCGCGUCCGGGGUGAAAUCCUCCCGCUCAACGGGAGAACGGCCUCGGAUACGGGCGGGCUGGAGGGGGGUAGGGGCAGGCGGAACUGUGGGUGGAGCGGUGAAAUGCGUUGAGAUCCACAGGAACUCCGGUGGCGAAGGCGGCCUGCUGGACCCCACCUGACGCUGAGGCGCGAAAGCCAGGGGAGCGAACGGG